GCAUUCGAGGGUAAUCUAGUGGUGACAUCUGUCAUCCCAAUGAUAGCCAGGGUUGACUCAGCUGAUCUGGCUGGGUAGGCGAGUGUCCCCUUCCUGCCUCUCUGCUACAUGUGCUUCCCUCCUGGAAGCUGCAUGCUCAGUUAAAGAGAGCAACCAACCUGGACAGAGGAGGACUGGUCAAGGGUGUACCAACAGCUGAACUCCCCUGCUGGGGACUACAAACAAGCCCUCAAAGUGGCUGCAUCAUUUCUACUUUCUCACUUAUAAGAAUUCUAAUUUCUCUGCUCUUU
rfam:Cavia porcellus supercont2_1 genomic scaffold, whole genome shotgun sequence.